rnacentral:sRNA from 1 species
UUGUUUGCUUCAAUCAAUAUGUCUGAGUAGUCUGCUUGUUAGGAAUAUG